UCAUGUUGCAAGCUCUAAAGCUGCCCCUGUAAUUUACCAUCACAAGACAUGUCUGGGCAGCAAGUCUCCUGUGACGAUUACUCUUAAUUCGUCGUUAUAAUUGUUUGAUGGUUUGCUUGUUCCAACCUCGCUAUCUGCCUUUAGAUUCCCGUUGUUGUCUUUGUAGUGGAAGGUACCACUUGGUGGUAUGUUGCUAUUUUCACUUUGUUCUGAACAAGGCAUGUAUAGAUUUCAGAUUUUAAUUCCUAUCUCUUUGUCGUAAAAAGUAAUGUAUGGUCCUGUGUUUUAUCUUAGUCGUAUGAAAGCACCGAGCUUGAUUCUGUCUUAUAACCUGAUGUCAUCUUCAGUCCCAUUAUGUUUUGCUUCUAAUACAAUUGAUUGUCUACACAUGCUAUUCCUGGGCUCUUACCGGCAAAUUGUUACAUGUUUUGUCUAAACGUUCUGACCGGCACCCUCGCGCCACGGCGUGAACCCGAUCUAGUUUUACAUGAGCAGAGAGCAUCGGAUGCCAUGCCAGCAUUCUCAUUCUGGGGUCACAGCGCAGCAAGACAUGAAUUAUGCAAGUAAGGUGGAGGGGUCACUCACGCACAUGGACUGCUGUAGCAGCUCAUUUUCUACAGCUCUAUCAUUAGAAGCACCACCACCAUCGUCUCCUCCUCCGUUUCUCCAGCUCUACCAUUAGCACUAGCACCACCAACUCCUCCGCCACAACAAGAAAACACACCUCUCCUCCUGGUCCAACCCAUGGAGGCCGCCAUGAUCCCCUUGAUCAAGAAGAAUGAUUAUCAUUAUUCUUUCCAGGAGAGCAUCUAAUGCCGGCUAGUAAAUACCAUGUCCCAACUAAGUUUAAUUUUGGUUUUGUUAAAUGGCACUGAUAUUAGGCCUUACCUUUUGUUUUAUAUGCAUCUUCAAAUUAUGCACUACAUAUGUUUAUCUUUUUUAUAAAUUUGUUGAGCUGGCAAUACCGUCUUUUAAUUAAUUUGGUGCUGACUUGGCAAAACAUAUAUUGACCUAGUUAUGUUCGUUGAUUUGUAAACUAACGCAAUAAAAAAUACAAGUACCUCAUUGUAAUCGAUGACAUAUGGGAUGAAAAAGCAUGGAAACUUAUUAAGUGUGCUUUCACUGACAACUGCCUCGGUAGUCGAGUAAUGACUACCACCCGCAUAGCCAGUAUCUCUAAUGUAUGUUGCUCUUCUGAUGAUGAUAUAGUAUAUUAGAUGAAACCACUUCCUGAUGAUGAACGUAUCGUGCCCGUAUUUUUUUAUUUUCUGUUUUCCUCCACGAUACAAUCUUCUAUGACGUGCUGCAUAUAUAUAGGCAAGUAGCCGACCAAUGUCUAACGGACUCAAACAUCUCCUAAACCUAUACAUACAGACCAGACCACCGGAUACAAAUCCUAGCCGGACAGCUAGUCUAUACCAACCAUCUACUAAACCAAACCGGACUACACUUGGACUCCUAGCCGUAACCGAAACUGGCUACUACUCAACUUACCUAAUCUAAUCCAACGGACAAAAUUAUCUAACAAUCUCCCCUUAAUCUUAACUUGUCAUCUUCCUCAUGCUCUUUCUCAUCUUGACUCGUUGGAGAUUCAUGGCUUGUUGAUCCAAACACCGACACAUGAUCCGGACUACCAGCCCACACAAUCACAUCUACGCGUGCAACGUGCAAAGUUGGACACACCAUCAAUCUUCACGUCGUACAAUUUAACUGGUCACUGUCCCACUAUACGCCGAGCUUGAUUUUCAACUGUCAUAUCCGUACACUAAGUAUGACCCGUCUGGAAACAUGCAGUCACCUCCUUGCUCUGCCAUGUUGUGCCACCGUCAAUGCUUGGCCGCUGCCUUGCACUCGGUCCGCACCAUAGUCAAUAUACUUGCUUGCAGUAGAUCCACUCUCCACUGGUCGCACACCUCCUCGGUUUACGAUGGCUUCGCCUACCAUCGUCCGGCUUCGGCAUCACACCAAACCCACACUGGCCAUAACCAGGACGCUCCACGAGGACAUGGACAUGACUCAUGGAACACCGUGCACACCACUUCCACUGCAACGAAUCAUUACCAAGACGAGCACUUGGACACGAUAACGACUCACAGACGCAAAGACGACUGAUCGUGCAAACAAGCAUGACAUCUUGACUCAUCCUACUCACCCGGAUGGCGAUUUUGACGAGCUCCAUUACCGCACCUCGGCACCACCUCUCCCAUCAACGAUAUCCUUCCACUGUCUUCCCGACGACAACCUGUCGUCUCCCUCCUUGUCGCUCCAACGAUCGACGGUCGCUUGUUCCUCCUUGCCGCUGCACCACCUAGCGACUUCGUGGCCCGCCCUUCCUCGUCGCUACACCAACCAACGACUAUAUCGCCCCGCCCCGAGGCGCUAGUUAGGUCGCCACCCCGGAGCAAUCACGACUUCAAAUCGACCUAGCUCUGAUACCAAUUGUUGAAACUUUCCCACAGGAUCGAUCACAUCAGAUCACGACGGACACACGCACACGAAAACUUUGUGGCCAAGGGCAUGUGUCGUGCCCGUAUUUUCUUUAUUUUCUGUUUUCCCUUGAUUUCUACCUUCGUUGAUUUUAGCAUCAUGAAAAGCUCGGGUAUUUCUUUCGUCAUCCCUUGCAUAUUAUAGUUCAUCAUGAAGUUCUAGUAACUUGGUGAUGGUGACUAGAGAACUCUAUCAAUCACUAUCUUAUCUGGAAGAUUAACUCCCACUUGAUUCAAGCGAUUGUAGUACCCAGACAAUCUAAACAUAUGCUCACUGCUUGAGCUAUUCUCCUUCAUCUUUUAGCUAUAGAACUUGUUGGAGACUUCAUAUGUCUCAACUCGGGCAUUUACUUGAAAUAUUAACUUUAACUACUAAACAUCUCAUAUGAUCCAUGACGUUCAAAACGUCUUUGAAGUCUCGAUUCUAAGCCAUAAAGCAUGGUUCACUAAACUAUCAAGUAGUCAUCAUAUUAAGCUAGCCAAACGUUCAUAACGUUUGCAUCUACUCCUGCAAUAGGUCUGUCACCUAGCGGUGCAUCAAGGACAUAAUUCUCUAGGAACAUACAAAAAAACAUAGGAAUCUACAACGCGAGCUAUUGAUCUACAACAUAAUUUGCAAAAUACUAUCAGGACUAAGUUCAUGAUAAAUUAAAGUUCAGUUAAUCAUAUUACUUAAGAACUCCCACUUAGAUAGACAUCUCUCGAGUCAUCUAAAUGAUCACAUGAUCCAAAUCAACUAAACCAUCUCCGAUCAACACGUGAGAUGGAGUAGUUUUAAAUGGUGAACAUCUCUAUGUUGAUCAUAUCUACUAUAUGAUUCACGUUCGACCUUUCGGUCUCCAGUGUUGCGAGGCCAUAUCAGCAUAUGCUAGGCUCGUCAAGUUUAAACCUAGUAUGUCACACGUGCAAACCUACAAUUAUUCAGGUCUAAAACUAAUCCCGAAGGUAGAUGUAGAGGUAGCGUGCCAACCGCGAUCACAUCGACUUUGGAACCGUUUCCCACGCGCAUCGUCACCUCGUCCUUGGCCAGUGCUCGCUUAUUCCGUAGUCCCUGUUUUGAGUUGCAAAUAUUAGCAACAGAACCAGUAUCAAAUACCCAGGUGCUACUACGAGCUCUAGUUAGGUACACAUCAAUAACAUGUAUAUCACAUAUACCUUUGUUCACUUUGCCAUCCUUCUUAUCCGCCAAAUACUUGGGGCAGUUCCGCUUCCAGUGACCAGUCUGCUUGUAGUAGAAACACUCAGUUUCAGGCUUAGGUCCAGACUUGGGUUUCUUCUCUUGAGCAGCAACUUGCUUGCUGUUCUUCUUGAAGUUCCCCUUCUUCUUCCCUUUGCCCUUUUCUUGAAACUAGUGGUCUUGUUAACCAUCAACACUUGGAUACUAUAGUUCAUCACGAAGUUCUACUAACUUGGUGAUGGUGACUAGAGAAUUCUGUCAAUCACUAUCUUAUCUGGAAGAUCAACUCCCACUUGAUUCAAGCGAUUGUAGUACCCAGACAAUCUGAGCACAUGCUCACUAGUUGAGCGAUUCUCCUCCAUCUUUUAGCUAUAGAACUUGUUGGAGACUUCAUAUCUCUCAACUCCGGUAUUUGCUUGAAAUAUUAACUUCAACUCCUGGAACAUGUCAUAUGGUCCAUGACGUUCAAAAUGUCUUUGAAGUCCCGAUUCUGAGUUGUUUAAACAUGGUGCACUAAACUGUCAAGUAGUCAUCAUACUGAGCUAGCCAAACGUUCAUAACGUCUGCAUCUGCUCUUGCAAUAGGUCUGUCACCUAGCAGUGCAUUAAGGACAUAAUUCUUCUAUGCAGCAAUGAGGAUAAACCUCAUAUCACGGAUCCAAUCUGCAUCAUUGCUACUAACAUCUUUCAACACAAUUUUCUCUAGGAACAUAUCAAAAUAAACAUAUGAAAGCAACAAUGCAAGCUAUUGAUCUACAACAUAAUUUGCAAAAUACUACCACGACUAAGUUCAUGAUAAAUUUAAGUUCAAUUAAUCAUAUUACUUAAGAACUCCCACUUAGAAAGACAUUCCUCUAAUCCUCUAAGUGAUCACGUGAUCCAAAUCAACUAAACCAUAACCGAUCAUCACGUGAAAUGGAGUAGCAUUCAAUGGUGAACAUCAUUAUGUUGAUCAUAUCUACUAUAUGAUUCACGCUCGACCUUUCGGUCUCCGUGUUCCGAGGCCAUAUCUGCAUAUGCUAGGCUCGUCAAGUUUAACCCAAGUAUUCUGCGUGUGCAAAACUGGCUUGCACCCGUUGUAGAUGGACGUAGAGCUUAUCACACCCGAUCAUCACGUGGUGUCUGGGCACGACGAACUUUGGCAACGGUGCAUACUCAGGGAGAACACUUCUCGAUAAUUAGUGAGAGAUCAUUUUAAAAUGCUACCGUCAAUCAAAGCAAGAUAAGAUGCAUAAAAGAUAAACAUCACAUGCAAUCAAUAUAAGUGAUAUGAUAUGGCCAUCAUCAUCUUGUGCUUGUGAUCUCCAUCUUCGAAGCACCGUCAUGAUCACCAUCGUCACCGGUGCGACACCUUGAUCUCCAUCAUAGCAUCGUUGUCGUCUCGCCAAUCUUAUGCUUCUACGACUAUCGCUACCGCUUAGUGAUAAACUAAAGCAUUACAGGGCGAUUGCAUUGCAUACAAUAAAGCGACAACCAUAUGGCUCCUGCCAGUUGCCGAUAACUCGGUUACAAAACAUGAUCAUCUCAUACAAUAAAAUUUAGCAUCAUGUCUUGACCAUAUCACAUCACAACACGCCCUGCAAAAACAAGUUAGACGUCCUCUACUUUGUUGUUGCAAGUUUUACGUGGCUGCUACGGGCUUAAGCAAGAACCAAUCUCACCUACGCAUCAAAACCACAACGAUAGUUUGUCAAGUUGGUGUUUUUUUAACCUUCGCAAGGACCGGGCGUAGCCACACUCGGUUCAACUAAAGUUGGAGAAACUGACACCCGCUAGCCACCUAUGUGCAAAGCACGGCGGUAGAACCAGUCUCGCGUAAGCGUACGCAUAAUGUCGGUCCGGGCCGCUUCAUCCAACAAUACCGCCGAACCAAAGUAUGACAUGCUGGUAAGAAGUAUGACUUAUAUCGCCCACAACUCACUUGUGGUCUACUCGUGCAUAUAACAUCAAACCAUAAAACCUUGGCUCGGAUGCCACUAUUGGGGAAUGUAGUAAUUUCAAAAAAAAUCCUACGCACACGCAAGAUCAUGGUGAUGCAUAGCAACGAGAGGGGAGAGUGUUCGUCCACGUACCCUCGUAGACUAUAAGCGGAAGCGUUAUGACAACGUGGUUGAUGUAGUCGUACGUCUUCACGAUCCGACCGAUCCAAGCACCGAACAUACGGCACCUCCGAGUUCAGCACACGUUCAACUCGAUGACGAUCCCCGGGCUCCGAUCCAGCAAAGCUUCGGGGAUGAGUUCCGUCAGCACGACGGCGUGGUGACGAUGAUGAUGUUCUACCGGCGCAGGGCUUCGCCUAAACGCCGCGACGAUAUGACCGAGGUGGAAUAUGGUGGAGGGGGGCACCGCACACGGCUAAGGAACGAUCCGUAGAUCAACUUGUGUGUCCAUGGGGUGCCCCCUGCCCCCGUAUAUAAAGGAGGGAGGGGGAGGCCGGCCGGCCCUUGUUGGGCGCGCCAGGAGGAGGAGUCCUCCUCCUAGUAGGAGUAGGACUCCUCCUUUCCUAUUCCUACUAGGAGGGGAAGGAAGGGGGAGAGGAGGGGAAGGAAAGAGGGAGGCGCCGCCCCCCCUCCUAGUCCAAUUCGUACCAGAGGGAGAGGGGGCGCGCGGCCUUUCCUGGCCGCCCCUCUCUCUUCCCACCAAGGCCCAUGUGGCCCAUUAACUCUUCGGGAGGGGUUCCGGUAACCCUCCGGCACUCCGGUUUUCUCCGAAAUCACCUGGAACACUUCCGGUGUCCGAAUAUAGUCGUCCAAUAUAUCAAUCUUUAUGUCUUGACCAUUUCGAGACUCCUCGUCAUGUUCGUGAUCACAUCCGAGACUCCGAACAAACUUCGGUACAUCAAAACUUGUAAACUCAUAAUAAAACUGUCAUCGUAACGUUAAGCGUGCGGACCCUACGGGUUCGAGAACUAUGUAGACAUGACCUAGAACUAUUCUCGGUCAAAAACCAAUAGCGGAACCUGGAUGCCCAUAUUGGUUCCUACAUAUUCUACGAAGAUCUUUAUCGGUCAAGCCGCAUAACAACAUACGUUGUUCCCUUUGUCAUCGGUAUGUUACUUGCCCAGAUUUGAUCGUCGGUAUCCAAUACCUAGUUCAAUCUCAUUACCGGCAAGUCUCAUUACUCGUUCUGUAACACAUCAUCUUAUAACUAACUCAUUAGUUACAAUGCUUGCAAGGCUUAGGUGAUGAGUAUUACCGAGUGGGCCCAGAGAUACCUCUCCGACAAUCGGAGUGACAAAACCUAAUCUCGAAUUAUGCCAACCCAACAUGUACCUUCGGAAACACCUGCAGAGCACCUUUAUAAUCACCCAGUUACGUUGUGACGUUUGGUAGCACACAAAGUGUUCUUCCGGUAAACGGGAGUUGCACAAUCUCAUAGUUGCAGGAACUUUGUAUAAGUCAUGAAGAAAGCAAUAGCAACAUACUAAACGAUCAAGUGCUGGGCUAACGGAAUGGGUCAUGUCAAUCAGAUCAUUCAACUAAUGAUGUGAUCCCGUUAAUCAAAUAACAACUCUUUUGUCUAUGGUUAGGAAACAUAACCAUCUUUGAUUAACAAGCUAGUCAAGUAGAGGCAUACUAGUGACACUCUGUUUGUCUAUAUAUUCACACAUGUAUUAUGUUUCCGGUUAAUACAAUUCUAGCAUGAAUAAUAAACAUUUAUCAUGAUAUAAGGAAAUAAAUAAUAACUUUAUUAUUGCCUCUAGGGCAUAUUUCCUUCACGAAGUGGAUACAAUAAGUCACAACGACAAGUCUUUUUUUGUAAUUAAGCAUGACAUCUGCUUCAUUUGCUUGAACUUAUUUUUUUACUAUUCUACUAGCGUAUCCCCUGCCAUGCAAGAGUUUUUGUAUUGGAUAAGAUAGGUUUCAGUCGUACUAUGGAGGUAAAGAAAGUUUACUUGAAGAUCGAGCAUGGUUAUAUUUUCCACGCAAAAUUAUACAAUUCAGACGACUACACCUAUUUUGGAUGCAAAACAUGGUGAGCACUAUGCAAGACUUAUGCAUUUGAGCCUGAUAUGGUUAUCACCUUUGAUAUUCGUCCGAAAGAUGAUAUUGAAGGUAAUACCGACAUCUGGGUCGAUGUGCAGACGCCUCCAGUUAUACCAUUAUGUAAGUUUCUCAACCAUAUUUAUGUCUUUGAUAUUGUUUAUUCAAAAAUAGUUGACAACUAAUUUGUAUUGUCAGCUUAUAUCGGUGCAAGCAAACUUGUCCAGCGCUUGGUAGACAGGACCAUAUACUGUGCCGGGGCUGAACUCAACUGUGAGGAGCUCAGUCAUUAUGUUUCAUGGCUUGCGGAUCUUGAUACUGUCAAGACAAAUUUUCUUCCUGCAUUUAGAAAUAUUAGUACUGAAAACGUGCGACUAAUAGUGUUCGUAAUGAACUACGGUCACAUCUAUUUAGGAAGGAUGAUAAGAUUUUUAUUAUUUAUCCUCAGUGUAUCUUUUUCAUACAUUAUUUUGAAGCUAAACUUCAUUGCUAAGUAUGUUACCAUACGAUGUUCUUCAACAGGGACUCCCGAUGAAUGUUGUGCCUUAUGGGAUCGAGAUUAAAGAUACCAUGAGUAUUUUUAGCUUACGGCUAAGAUAUCCUAUAGAUUACUUUAAUGCAUUCAAGGUUAGCGACGGAUGCUUAAUAGUGCAAGACUGGACUAAAUAUGUGAUGGGGGAGCGGAGAGAAGUAUUAGGGGGCAGCAAACAGAUGCGCUACCCACGAUUAGGAGACAGGUUCAUCUGCAUGCUCCAACUUGAUCAAGGAGGAAAGCUAUACAUGUUUUAUGUUAUUUUACCUAAGAGAGAGCAGCAGGAGUGAUUAGCUAACCAGGAAUGAGUUUGAAGAUGAUGAUGUGCUACACUAUUACUAAGAUGAUAAAAUAGCUAGUGUUGGUGGUAAUGACUAUGAUGAUUAUUAUUAGCUAGUGUUAGUGGUGAUUAAAUAAAUACUGUUGGUGAUAAUGACUAUGAUGAUGAUUAAAUAGCUUGUGCUGGCGGAUUAGAUUCAAGUGGAGGCAACAUGUGGUGCACAUUGAAAGUACUACUAGUCCAAACUAGAUCAAGUUUGGAUUAGUAGUAUACUUUUGACAUGCACCACAUAUUGCCUCCACUUGAACCUAAUCCACCUUCAUUUGACACACUGUUAUGGUCAUAAUGAUGUAAAUCUUAUAACUGGUAUUGUACCAAUAUUUGUACGAUGGCGCAUAAAUACAGUAAAAAUAAAAAAAUAAAAAAUUGAAUACUAGUAGCGAUGGAGAGAAAACACGCUGCCACUAGUUACAUUAGCAGUAGCGUGGGAGUGAACAAACCCUACAGCUAUUUGUCCUAGCAGUAGCGCGUGCCGGCACGCGUUAUUCCUAAGCAAUAGCUGUAGCGCCUUAUUAGUAGCGCGCCUACCCGCGCUACUAGUGAGCACAAAACCAGCGCUACUGCUAGGGUUUUCCCUAUUAGUGCUCGCUCCCUCGACAUCUUUAAUUUCUACACUGUGCAUCUUAUGUUACUCCACUAAUAAUCUUGCAUGUCUAAUAUAAAUUCAAUAAAAAUGCAUUACAAGAACAUUCAUAAAAAACUCAAGAAAUCAACAUUAUGUGCCUUGCUCUCGGUAGUCCAACCACUAAUCUGAACAUGAGGCCGUAUAAAAAAAAUCUAAUCUUCAUUGGCAAGUAAAACUUAAUGUUCAAAUUCAUGAACCCCCUCCNNNNNNNNNNNNNNNNNNNNNNNNNNNNNNNNNNNNNNNNNNNNNNNNNNNNNNNNNNNNNNNNNNNNNNNNNNNNNNNNNNNNNNNNNNNNNNNNNNNNNNNNNNNNNNNNNNNNNNNNNNNNNNNNNNNNNNNNNNNNNNNNNNNNNNNNNNNNNNNNNNNNNNNNNNNNNNNNNNNNNNNNNNNNNNNNNNNNNNNNNNNNNNNNNNNNNNNNNNNNNNNNNNNNNNNNNNCCAAGAUACAUUAAUUGCAUGUCAUCAUCCGACUCAACCCAACCUACAAAAUUCGGAAAUCAGAUGAAGGCUUUAGAAGCUGUUGUGGUGCUCACUACACUUUGGCACUAGAUGUUCAUUCGUAACGAAAAUCUAGAAAAAAGAAAAAGAAACUAUAAGAGUAUUUCAGGUUUAACCACCAUACUCUAUGCUUAUCCCAUGCUAGGUUGUAGGCCCUGAUGCUCCAGGUAAUAAUCAAUUGACUUCCCUAAAGAUCCAAAAGAACAUAGCUGAAUGUUUUGCAAAACAAAUAUUGCAUUCUAUUGUUUUAGAAAUUGGACAUGGUGUAUUUUCUUUGCUGGUUGAUGAGUCAAGGGAUGUAGCUGGUAAAGACCGAUGGCAGUGGUCUUGAGAUAUGCUAGUAAAUGUGGAAGUGUGGAAGAGGGUUUAGUCGGCCUUGUUCAUGUGAAGGAGACAACUUCAAAGUACCUCAAGGCUGUUAUUGAUGAUUUUUUGUAGAACUCAAUUUAAGUCUCAAGCAACUUAGGUGCAAAGGAUACGACGGCACGAGCAACAUGCAAGGUGAUUUUAAUGGUUUGUAAUCCUUAAUCAUAAGGGAGAACAACACCGCAUAUUAUGUUCAUUGUUUUGCACACAAAUUGCAAUUAGUCGUUUUGGCUGCUGUAAUGAAGCACAAAUGGAGCAGCAAUUUUUCUAUAUGAUAUCUGUAUUCUUGAAUUUAGUUUGUGGAUCUUCAAAUAGAAAAGACAUGAUUCGAGAUAAAUAUAAAGAACAAGCAUAUGAAGCCUUAUGUGGUGGUGCACUUACAAAGUGGGGCGAUAUUAAAUCAAGAGCUAGCACUUCAAAGACUCGGACACACUCGAUGGAGGUCUCACUAGAGGAAUCUUAAGAUUUUGAUUUAUUUGUUUCCUACAGUUAUCUAAGUGCUAGAAUAUGUGGAAGAAGAAGACCGGGAUGACGCAAACAGAAGGCAAGCAUGUGGUCUCCUUGUUUAUUUCCAUUCAUUUGAUUUUGUGUUCUAGCCGCAGCUUAUGUCCACUAUAUUGGUUAUCUCAAACACAGUAUCAUUGGCUCUACAAAGUAAGAAUCAAGACAUAGUAAAUUUCGUACAUUGUGUGCAGUCAACCAAAAACUCCUUGAAUGAUGUAAGGAGGAAUAGAUGAAAUCAGUCUUGGGUGAAACAUAUGCUUUUUGUGACAAACAUGGGAUUUCCAAGUUGGAGAUGGAAGAGCAAUAUGUCAAUCUAAAGAAGCCACGUCAACAAACAGGCAUCACUAAUAACCAUCAUUCUGAAGUGGAUUGUUUCAAUGAUGUUAUUCAUUGGCUGCUUCAAGAACUUGAUAGCCGCUUUAAUGUGAAAAAUUCUAAGCUACUAAUGUGCUUAGCUGCUUUGAGACAAAAAUAAUCAUUCAAAGAUUUUAAUUUAGGGCAUUUGAUGGAUCUAGCCAGACAUUAUCUGGAAGACUUUGAUGAUGGAGAACUAAGGGACCUUACACGUCACCUCUGUCUUUACAUUGCCGAUGUUGGAGCAGAUGAUUGAUUCUCUAGCAUAAAUAAUAUUUGUGAGAUCUCUCAAAAAAAUGGUGGAGACAAAGAAACAUAUUAUCUAUCCUUUGGUUUAUUGGCAUGUGAAUCUUGAACUUUUAUUGCCUGGUGCUAUUGCUCCAGUUGAGAGAUGUUUUUCGGGCAUGGAAAUUAUGUAGACAUUUUUGUGCAAUUGUCUUAGUGCUGAUGAAUUGAUCACAACCUUAUUUGUUGUAUGGAGAAAAAAGAAACGAGAAGAGUCACCAGUGAUGCAAUUAUUUAUCACUUUGAGGUCAUGAAAGCACAUAGACUUAUAGCCUUAAUUAAUGAAUUAUUGCACAAGUCUAUUUAAUAUGUAUUAAGUGAUUUUUUUUGGAGGCAAUCAGUAUGUAUUGCCGUAUGUUGUCGUCCGAUCAUAUUUAUUUUCAUGGUUUGGAGUUUUCUCCUCCUCGCCGUCGCCGGUGGCCUCCGGCAGGCAAAGCCUGCGCGGAGCCGGCAGCGGCGAGGUGCUCUCUGGAUGCUGCUCGCUCGGGAGGAGGGGAUCUCCUGCGCGGUUGGCAGCUGUCCGGCGCUCGGCCUCGUGUGGCAUCGACGCUCGUGGCAGAGACGUUCUUGGGCGCGCGGCGCGUCGGUGGGCGCACCGUCACGGUGCAUGCGGUCGCGGUCGUGGCGCUCAUGCGGUCCCGAUCUGGGAUCUCGCGGGCUGCGGCCCACUAACCCCACUACUAAUCUCACUACGUUGCAUGCAGAUGCGACUGCCAAGCCAGCUGCUUGAUCCGAUUAUUCCUGCAUGUAUAGGCUUGAGUCAAAUCCAAGUUUGCAGCAUUCUUGAGCUUGCCCACAACGGCACACUUGACGCACGCCUCAACUGAUUGUAUCCGCUUCUAGCUCCACGCUGAUCUGUCGUCGCAUUCGGCCGCUCUGACUCCACGGAGCUGUACGCGCAUGUUGCUAACAACUACAUCCAUGCAAACUACACGACGUGCAUGGUACUGAUCAGCUAAUGCUAACUCAACUAACUAACUAGGCACUAUUCAGCUUGCAUGUGUACUCGCCUCCACACUUCUACGAGCACGCUCACUGCCACAGCCUCAAGCCUUCAACUUAACUACAUGCAUGAACGAACUAAUGCGAUGAAAUAAACAUGAUGAAUUUCUAGACAACAAGGUUUACUCUAACACUGUCUUCACGAUAUUGAUGAUGUGCGCCGUCCUCGCGACCUCUGUGGCGCCAUCCCCCGCAGCACGGCGAUGGCAUCCUCGCGAGCUCAACGCCUCCGGGCUCUAGUUUGACGAAGUAGACGUCGGUGGCAUUCCAAUCGAGAGCCACUCCUCUGUCCUCCAGCUCCAAAAGGAUGAAAUAGACGGCGGGCGUCCUUCUGGCGAGCUCCACGCCACGAUCCUCUACGGCACCGGGUUGAUAAUGUUGCAAUGUGCGUCGUCUUGACGAGCUCUGCGAGUCCAUACUCCCUGGCAUGGCUUUCGCGUCUCUGGCGAGCUCCACCCCUCCAUACCCCGGCACCAGCUUGCCGAAGUAGACAUCAACGAUGUCGUGGCGGCCUCAACACCAUGUCCUUCACGGCACCCGCUUGGUGGAGGGCCAAUGUCGUCGUGUCCAAGAGCAGACACCAAAAAGGAGUCUGGCGGGGCAGCACGCCAGCAGCACCACUGGUGUGCUCGUCUUGAACGAUGGCCUUGAGGACGGUGGCGGCAAGCUGCGAGGUCACAUGCUCCGCCCACGUCAUCUCUUUCGAGAACAUGAGCUUCAUCUCCAUGGCGCCUCUCGGCUUGGUCCUUUUUUUUUAAAAAAGGAGGAGGACCUCCGGCCUCUGCAUCUGGACGAUGCAUACGGCCACUUUAUUAAUUAUUCUCACAAGACCUUACAAAGUCAUAUAACAGUAAGACUAAAGCCACCGUCUAAGCAACAACUGUCGCUACACCUAUCCAAUUGAUGAAGGGGCACUGAUAGCCUGAGCCUAAUACCAAACAGACAUCGCAGCCAGACCUAACAUCUAAUACCUGAGGUCCCAAGCAGGACGUCUGCCGGGUAUGGGAACCCACCAGUCCAGCGUGCUCCUCAACCAGGACGCCUGCCGUGUAUGAGACCGCCGCAGCCACUUGCCACCAAUCCAUCUUCAGAGAUGUACUGCUGCAUCGACCUUUCCCGGCUAGCUGCCGCCGACGCCACCACAACGCCAACAGCGUCUGCCUCCUGCGCGAGUCCAUCAUCGCACAUCAGACUCCUAAUCUCCAGGGCGCCAUGCCAUCGAGAUCUGUCACCAUCCAUGUGUAUGAUGAAGCACCGCUCCACCAAAGACGUCGUCCACUGGUCCCCCGAGCCAGCGUACACCUCCAAGAAAGACGCCCCCAAGGGGGAAACGACACAAACGCGCCGCCGUCUUCUGAUCUGUCCAUAUAGGGUUUCCCCCGGAGGUAGCAGAUAGUAGUCUAGAACUUCUCCACUGCGAUGCCUUCAAGAAGGGAACGACGUCGUGAACGCCGCCAUUGCCGACUUUGGCAUCUAGCCAAGAGCAGGUUUUCACCCAGAUUUGUUCGAAGAACUCCAUCCAAGUUCUUGUGCACGGACCGCCGCCUUCUCUGUCAGAGACUAGAUCAAAAGGAUCCAGCCACCGCCGCCAGAUCCAUGCAGUCAGCACCGGGAGAUGACGACAGUCUCCCUGUACCAGAGCUAGCACGAACCGGAGCAGAUCGAGUCGGAGAAGAUGAUACUCCUGGAUCUCCGGCAGACCAGCGAGCCGCCGGCACGACCGUGUCCAGAUCACCGGCCACGCCGGGCCACCGCCACCCCCCACGCCGUUCGGUGGUCACCAGAUCCGGGACGAGCCGGAACCGGUCGGAACAAGGGGCGCUCCGCCACCCAGCCAUGGGGCCGCCGCCCUGGCCACCGCUGCCCCCUGUGCAUCCGGCCGAUUCCCACCGGCACCACCACAGUCGCCGCCGUUGGGACGCCCCGCCGCCGUGGGCCGAUGUGGUGGCCGCACCUCCGCGGAUCUGGUUGCCCGCGCCACCCAUGGAUCCGGGGGAGAGGGGAGAGGCCCUCCGCCACCGCGUCGCACACACGGGCUUUGCCCGGUGCCGACUACCUGCGGCGGCGGAGGGGAGGACGGGGCGUGGGAAGGGUCGCUGGCGGCAGCAGAGGCUGGCCCCACGUGUUGCCCGCGAGGGGGGCGACGCGAGAGGGAGAGGGAUGGCUUGGUCCUUCUUGCUCGGCUGCUAGAUGCGAUGACGCCGGAUGCAUGUCUUCUGCUCUCCACUCUGCGUGGGUCGGCUGCGUGGUUUUGUUGUUCUUCAGGGAUGUCCUUAGGUAUCAUGCAAAAUAAGUAGAUGAAAACACAUAGAAGAAAAAGAUUAUUGUAUGGUUACAUGCGGGGAGUGACCGCACAUAUUUCCACGGCCGGCGCAUUCGCCGUUCAUCUGAUCUCCACGACGCUGCCGCCACGAGCGCGUUUCUUCAGCGUGUUUUCUCCUCUCCUCUGCAGCGUACCUUGGUGCGUGAGAUAUGCUUGUGGGCUGGCUGGAUGUCUCUUGCUCGACGCUGCCGCCUUGGCGCGUCUCCUCUGUCCCCCUCCCCUCAUGUAUGCACCUAUGUUUAUAGGCAAAAGAUGGGGCAUCGGGAGCAGCCAACCCGACGAGUAUCGCCGAGUCGUCUCAGCCGAAACUUGCUCACUUUAAAGUUUCCUUAUAUUUUGUCAACGCAUCCGAUGGAUUUUCUUCUUGGCGUGCAAGCCAGUACAAGAAAAGGAAACAAACCUGAUACAUACUCUCUUACGCGGCGCCUUCCAAUUUUUUUUUUUUUGCAUGGUACAAAUAAAGAUCAUAGUACAAGCCAUAUACAUACCGAUCUGGCAAAACUGAAAAGAUAGUAAAACGCUAUCCUUUACACAAAGGAACACCAGCCAGGAAGUAAAAUUACAAAUGAGAUAGAAAAAUACUUUGAGUUGACACCAACGCCCGUCAUCUGUGUCUCCGGCACCAUCACAGCAGCAAUCAUAAGAAAAAAUGACGGAUCACCUCCAUACCGAGCUCGAAGCGGCUCCAUCACUGAUAUCCAGCUUUACUGAUAUCCAAGGCGGUUCACCAAAGACGAAAGCAUUACCGUUGAACGAAUCAGACUAGGGCAACACCCCGGACAUGCUAUCAAACUCUAGAUCUGCCCCACACCCCCACCCACGUGGAAUAUGUGUGCAUGGUUAGCUAGACAUAUCGGGUAUUCUUUUUUUUUUUGCAGGAAACAUAUCGGGUAUUCGGAUAUGUAUACGCGCGCUUGCCGGCUGGCCGUAAAUACUCGAGUACAUAUUUGUAUGGGCUCGACGUAGGUGCAUGCAUGCACUGGGCUAAUUCUAAUUUGCCAGCCAUUAGCCCAUUAACACAUUGGCUAAUAGUAGUUCAUACGCCUACACAUGCAAUAUAGGCGCGUACACGUAGGCACUUCUUGCUUCAUGUGUACAACUAAGGUUUUUUUUUUUCAAAACUAUCUUGUUAUUUGAAGAAAAUUCGGAAACUACAGCAUGCUUUGGAGAAAUAUCAAGUCUAGCACCCUGUCGGCCAGGUGUUGGCCGAAAAGGGUGUUUUCGGCCACCUCUAGGCCGAAAUAGGGUUUUCGGCCAUGCCUUGGCCGAAAAGAUGCAAAGCUGGCCGAAGAAGGGUGUUUUCGGCCACCCUUUGGCCGAAAAGGACUUUUUGGCCUAGUGUAGGCCGAAAAGUACUUGUUGGUCAAUCGUAGGCGGAAAAGUACUUUUUGGUCAAGUUUAGGCCGAAAAGUCCCUUGGGCCACCUUUUUCCGUUAAUUGUUGGCCAAUGUAUUUUCCCGCCAACCCCUUCGUUGAUGCAGCCCUCUUGCCCUUCGACGAUGUGGUCCUUUUGCCAUCCGUCGAUGCAGAACUAUUGCCCUUCGAGGAUGGAGAACUCUUGCCCUUGGACGAUGAAGAACUCUUGCCCUUCGACGAUGCAGAACCCGGAAGCGGGGCAUGAAGAUAUCAUCUUCGUCCUGGCUCUCCUCAAUCCAUAAAGAUGGAUUAUUUGCUGAAAGCCUUCUGAAAGUUUCACUCUUCGGCACCACCACCUUCUUCCAUCUUUCAUGCAACCUAAGAAGUUGGUGGGAAAAUGCAUUGGCCAACAGAUAAGGGAAAGGUGGGCCCAAGGGACUUUUCGGUCUACACUAGACCAAAAAGUACUUUUCGGCCUAGUGUAGACCAAAAAGUACAUUUCGGCCUACAUUUGACCAAAAAGACCUUUUCGGCCAAACAGCAGCCGAAAACAGCCAUUUCGGCCAGCUCAACCACUUUUCGGCCAUGGCAAGGCCGAAAACCCUACUUCGGCCAACAAUUGGCCGAAAACUACCUUUUCGGCCUGCACGUGGCCGACAGGGUCAUAGUUUUGCAUUUUUUUCAUUAUGCGCUAUAGUUUCCGAAAUUGCUACAAAAUACGUCAUACUUUUGAAAAAAAAUCACAACUAAGUAUUAUUAGUCUAAGUCACAAUUUACACAACUUUUAUUUUUGCACUAUCCUUCCUCCUUAUUUUGGUACAAUUCGUAGUGCAAAAAAAAAAUCUCAUCGAACAACACUACAGGUGCAAGCAAAAGGAUGUAUUAUGUGUAAUAUGGUUAAAAAUUUGGUCAAAUUAUAGUGCUUCGAAACACAGUGGCAAAUGGAGCGUACAAACAUUCAACACCUUAAAAACAUUGUUACAAAUAUUGCCUCAGCUUCCCCUUUUUGUAGGAUUUUGUAAAAACUAACUUGGUGAAAAACACCCUACGCUUUACGAGACCGGCCUAGUACGAGCAGUUGCUCCGCUACCUCCAUCAUCGUUGGUCUUUGGUCUACAUCAAGGCUAAGGCAUUCCACGACUAUAUCUGCCAGACUAUCAAGAAGCUCCAAAUCUUUUGUUAUUGCAAUUUCCUUGUCAUAAAACUCAGUCGUUUUCUUCUGUUUCUUAUGUGCUUCAAGAAAGCCUUUUACCAAGCUAUUAUUCUCAGAAUGUAUGGCCCUCCUCCUACUAAUAAGCUCUAGGAUCACAAUUCCGAAACUAUAGACAUCACUUUUUUCAGUGAGUCGGCCUUCUUGUAGAUAUACUGGAUCCAUAUAAUUCAUGUCGCCGAUGACUUGUCCAGUGUGUUGCUUGUCUCUCUGAAUCAACUUAGAUAUGCCGAAGUCUGAAAUCUUGGGAACAAAGUUAUCAUCCAGGAGUAUAUUUGCUGGUUUAACAUCACCAUGUAGAAUUGUACUAUUUGUUUUUGAGUGCAUAUAAGCUAGACCGUCCGCUGAUUGUGCUGCAAUACUUAAACGUGUAUCCAAGUUGAGGGCCACCUUGUUAUUACUGUUGUGAAGGAUGUCAAGGAGGCUACCUUGAGAGAUAAACUCGUAGACCAGCAUAGGGGCAUCAACUUCAAGGCAACAACCAAUGAGCCUGACAAUGUUCUUGUGAAUGACUCUAGAUUGGAUGAUGACUUCAUUUGCAAAUUGUUCACUCUCUAGCACACUACCAUUAAUCGGCUUCUUUAUUGCAACUAAUUUAUUGUCAAGAAGGCCCUUGUAAACUUCACCAAAGUAACCUUUUCCAAUUAAGUUACUACUCCUCAAAAUUGGCUUGAGCUCCCCCUUUUUGAAAAGUUUAAUGACAUCUGCCUUCUCUAAUGUAGGGCCACCAUUCUUUUUGUAGAAUUCUUCCGUCUUCUUUUUCUCUUUGUGAAGAAUAAGAAGAAAUGAUAAAACAGCCAUCAGAAGAAUACCGCCAAUGGCACCUUGAUGGACAAGAAACAAACUUGAUUAGUACAUAUCACUAAGUUCACAUUUACAAAUCUAUCAGGUAUGUUUAACAUAAUAAGUAAAACGUUUCAUUAGUUGAUCUACUAAGAAUCUAAAACAAGUUUCCACUAGAAUUUCAGAAGAAAAAUGGAUCUAAAUCAAGAAUGGAAGGGGUUGAAACUCGGAGGGAAGUGUGCAGAAGAUGAUGGAAGCAUGUACUCCGUCUUUGCGAAAUUACAGUGCAUAUAAACUGUAAGAUUUUGUAAAUUUUGACGAAGCUUACAGAAAAAAUAUCAACAUCUAUAUGCUGUAUUAAUACGGAUUCAUCACAAAUUAUAUUUUCAUAUAAUAUAUAUUUGGUAUUGUAAAUGUUUUUUUUUUUUGGAAUUUUUGUCUAUAAACUUGGUGAAAAUUUACAAAGUUCGAUGUUGGAGAAAAAAUUAUGUGCUCUAUAAUUUGGCAAGGCAGGAGUAGCUCAUACAUUGCAGUCAGGUUAUUUGUAGAAAUUAAGCAGUAUCCAUCAAGUGAUGUACACGCAGUGCACCUAUCCAAUACAUGUUUCUAUUUGCAUAUGGAAUCAAGCUCCUUGUUGAAAACCAUAACUGAAGGUGAAUGAUCUAGGUGACACAAAUUUUGGUUUAUAGUUUGGACUUCAGAUCAACGUUUUUGGUGAUGUGGCACACCCGAAGGGUUUUGAUUCUAAUAGAAAAGAUUCUCACCCGGGGUGCUGUGUACUGAUGCAUACAUAGUUACAUGCAUGUACACGCACAUACAGUGGAGUGCAGUAGUAGCUUAGUACUUACCCACAGCCGCCUUGGCCGCUGGAGUGAAUAUAUCUGAGCAGGUUCCCGCUUUGCCGUCGCCUUUCAUCCCGAACUUGCAUGGACAGUCAUAGCCUCCGAGCCUGUUUUUGCAGAUCCCGCCAUUUGAGCAGGGAUACACAUGCGGGAGCUUGCAUUCAUCAAUAUCUGAAGAAUCAACACUUCCGGGAGUUAACCAAUGAGUUCAGCAAUGAUGUAUAUAUAUGUACCAUGUAUGUAUGCAUGCAUGCAUGUAUGUACCUUGGCAUCCGUGAGUGAUGUAAGGGUUGCCAGCGUAAUGGUCCCAGCACUUGCAGAUAUAGCCAGGAGUAUGUGUUGAGUUGGCGCAAGAGCUGUUGCCGCUGAUGCAGGCGUAGUCCGGAGGGGGUGGCUGUCCCUUGGCCGGACACGAAGUGUUCCCGGCGGCGAAAUCGAGCGCGAUGUGGACGCCCCGGGGGAACCUUUUGAGUAGCGUCCUGUUGCCCUCCAUGUCUGGCGUAGAGAAGUUGUACCAUGACUUGUCCACCAGCAUGGCGUAGGAGCACGGGUAGUCUUCCCACCGCUCGUUGGGGACCUCGCCCUUGACAGAAAAGCUUAACAAGUUGCCGAGGUUGUUGUCCGGUGGGAUGGUGGUGUGGCAGCAGCCCCUCCCCGUGCACGACCCGUUUGUUGGGGUCACACUUGGCAGGAGAUUGCGUGCACGAGCACUGCAGGCGAACAUGACCGUAUACGGCCACCUCAGCGGAAAGUCGAUGAAAGUCACGAAAGCAUCGACUCUCCAGCCGACGCCGACGAGAAUAUUGCGCGUCGCCGACACGGCGAACGGCGUGUGGGCCAAGUGAAUAUUGUAGAUCGCGGAGAAGGUCCUGUUGAGAUUUGUGCUGCAGAGGUACGAGACCGGGGCGUACACCCGUGCCUUGCCCGUGGCGACUGAUAUGCUCACAAGCUCGAUCGACGAGAAGGACCAAUCGCUCCCGUUCUCGGGAUCCAGUGGGGACGACGACAACCUGGAUAUUCUUUUGCCAGCAAGGAAGGCGCGAGGGGGAUACGAGGAGUCGUUGCACACGACCUCGAAGCCAUGGCGGAAGCAGCCGCGGCCGAUGCCGAAAGGGAAGGGGAUGCUGAUGUGGCCGCACUUGUCACGGCAACCUUGCUGCUGCUCAGCCGCGGCGGCCAAGAUGACUAGUUGGAUUACUGGCAACCACAGCCGCAGUAGUGGGUGGGAAUGGAAUUGGGAAUUUGGGGUGCUCAUGCUGCUCUACUCCCUCUAUCGUGUCUGGCAGGUUGCAAGGAAUCGUCUAACUUGGGCUGCACAUCCUCCCUCCCUUAAUAUAUAGACGGGAUGACAAGUAAAUAGGCAAAAAUCAUGGAUGUAGAUGCUUUUUUCAUAUAUAUAUACACGCGCAAACACUCACUCCUAUCGACGCACACACGCACACCCUACCCUUGAAAUAAAUUGAAGAUAAAUGCGAGCACCAGGAUUUGAACCCUGUUAAGGGAUACCACCGUGCUCUUAACCAUGCAACCACAUGUUGGUUCGCGCAUGUAGAUGCUUUUAAAGCUUGUGUGGUUACAAGUUUUUAGUUUUUCUGUCUUUUGCAUUUUUAUUCGUGUCUUAGAGCAUCUUCAAAUAUGUACUAUAAUUUUUCUCUACGAAUAAAGGUAUGCUAUAAUAGGGCAUUAAAAGGACAGUUGUUGAAAUAAAUUAUGUAAGGCUAGUUACAGUGGAGAGUAAGUUAGAGUAGCAACAUGCAUAUGUUACUACCUUCAUAGUUUGUAUGAUAAUAUAGAGACCUUCAUUUACAAUCACAUUGUAGACUCAUUUGGUUUUUGUUAAUGCUAUGUGUGGUAACACAAUAUGUUACUCUAUUCAUCUUUCUCCUUGUUAAUUACUUGCCACACAUCACUAUUUUGCUUAUGUGGCAUGCAUGUUACUACUUAUAUUACUCCCACUAUGAGUAGUCUAAGAGCAUCUACAAUCACAAGUACCAAAUUCCGGCCCUCAAACGCCUGCGGGCAGUGACCGAACAACACACAAAUUUUGUCCUCCGCAACUGGAUCCACCAUACGGAAUACUCAAAUCCGUAUUAGUCUAAUGCAACGUACGUACUUAGCUUAACACAUGUCAUCCGACUACCAAAAAUUGACCACUCAUGAAACACAUGGUAUCAUGGCAAGUCGUAGGGAAAGUUUGACAUGUAGGGUUGCAAACGAUUCGAGUGUCAGUGAGUUGGAUUAGACUCAGCUCUACUUAUACUAUAAUUCGAGCUCGCUCAAAAUCGAGCUGUAGAAAAUGGCUCGUGCUCAGCUUGUGAUGAUUUGGAGUCAAUCUCGAGCUAGUUUCAAAUUAAAUAAGAUAAUUUUAUUUAUUAAUCUAUGACAAAUUUUCAAAAAAAAAAUAGGCCACAUCGCAACAUAAAAAAUCAUAUAUAAUUCAAUUUAUUCUCUGUACGUCCGAUGACGAACCGGAGUCGCCAUGCCAUCAGCCUCUUGGUCGUGGAUGGUGCGUGGUGCAAACACGCCAUCACCGCGCUUUCGGCCCGGGUCGUCUCGUCUUUGAUAAGAAUGGGACGUGAGAACAAACGCGCAAAGAUAGCGGAGAACGUGCGCAGCACAAAAACAAAAUAGACACGGUAAUUCGUACACUCUUGUGGAUGUGCACGGGCGACGACGAUGACAAGCGCGUCCCGGUCGAUCAAUGUCGAUGUCCUCCGUAGGCUGGCCGGCCGGCUGGAGUCGUGGUGCGAGAUGAGGUCGGCAUGUGGUCGUGGUUGGAUCUUGGAUGUGCACCUUGUACAGACCAACCAACCAGACCGUCAGACACGCACAAGAAUAUUCUUCUUACUUCGGCAUCUCUCUCUCUCUCUCUAUCAGUUGACACUUCACACUAGCCAGCAAACUACAUGCCCCAACACACAACGAAAGACUAGGGCUAGUAACUGUUGACGAUGAUUCAGGCUGUUUCGUGUAUACACAUACAUGUAUUAGAUGUAAUUGUCCCGCUUGUUUUUUAAGUUUGUAUUUUGCUCACCCAGCAAUCUCGGAGACUAUGGGUUGGGCUGGUGUUGUAGUGAUCUAAACGCUCUUAUAUUAGUUUACGGGCGGAGUAGAACGGUGUGUAUUGGGCAUGGCUUGUUCAGUAGACCGUCAAGGGCAAUUUUGGAUCCUGUGGCGGGUCUAUUCUUUUUCCGAGGUUGGUUGACUGAUAAGAGCCAGCCCGAGUGCUGCUGCCGGUGCGCAGGCCUGUCACGCUUCAUUGUCCUGGCGCAGAUUGAAUCUGCCUGCUCUUUUUGAGACAGUCAGGCGUCCUCUAUGGCGCAAAAUUUUGACACCAGAUCCGAUAAUUCGGAGAACGUUUGGACACAGCGCCGGGCAAGGGCGUUUAAAACACCUUUGUCUUUGCAGUUAUGCCGAAAAGUUGCUAUUAUAUCUCCAUCACAGCAGUCCGGUAUCUUGUUCUUGACGAACAGGAACCUGGCCCAGAAUUGGUUGACUGUUUCGUCAGACUGUUAUUGUACGUAGGCUAGAUCCCAUACAUCAGGUGGCCUCGAGUUACUCGGGCAAUACCCGAUGUGGGAGGUGGGUGGGAGAAAGAAUCCUUGGCGUCUUCCAUUUGGCUCGAAGCUCCUACGCCGCUAUCCCGAGAAGGGUGUGUUGAGGACGAAUCGGCCGAAUUAAUCAUGAGAUUAGAUUCCUUGGCGUCUUCCGUUUGGCUGCCAUCGAGAUCGCUCUCUGGGUAAUACUUCGGCCCCUAGUCCUCCAUAGGAGGCUUUCAGGCCGUAGGGGGUGAAGAGCCGAAGGGCUCCUGGCUCACUACUCGCUCAUCAUGGCCUGGCGCUUGAUGGAGGAGGCGUGAUACGAUGAUCGGAAGCUCGAGCGUGGAAGCAAUGCCAUGAAAAUCUAAGUCGUUGACCGACGAUCCCAUCGAUCCUCCUUUCGAUCACACAACGGAACUCUCAGUGAAAGAAGCAAUGUUGGUGCUAAAACUGGUAGAACGCGCAUACGGGGUCCCGAACUGUGUAUCUCGGAUCUAUGGGUAACAGGAGACGAAAGAGACAAGGUUUACCCAGGUUCGGGCCCCCUAGAAGAGGUAAUAACCUAUGUCCUGCUUUCAUUAUAUUAAUGAUGAUGUAUCGAUUACAUGCUUGAUCUACCUCGAGAUCAUGAGGUGUCUUCUAACCCUAAGGCUAGGUGGUUGUACUUGUGACCAUCCCCUCUACGGGUUAAACCCCUCGGCUUAGGGCAUGUACAAUGGUUGAUAAGAUAGUCUUAUCUUAAGUCUUGCAUGUGAUUUAGAGAUGACAAAAAAAAUUGUCUACAAUGGGUCAUAUCUUAGCCUUAUCUUCAAUAACUAGUAAUUCCUAAAAAUGUGGUGAGACAUAUUGUGCUAAGAGAUCACCUCUUGUCUUCUCUUAUAAGAGAAGACAAGCCUUUUCUUAUGAGUUCUCUCUCCUCCACCUCAUUUUCUAUCCUACGUGGCAUUGCUAAGAUAGAACCAUUGUACAUGCCCUUAUGUAGAUACUGGGGAUACGUAGGGUUACACAUGGUUAGUUGCCAAUCUAGAGAUACACAUAGCGGCUGCGGAAGUAAUACUUGGAGUGCACGUCAAAUCUUCGGCAGAGUCCUCCUUGACCGCCUCGGAAUGUGAGGCUUCCACAGUCCUUGUAAGAACAGUGGGUCGUAAGCUCGGCCCAUGGGAUGUGGCCACCUAGGUUGGUACCCCUAGUCCAGGACACAGUCAACCACCUUCACUGGAAUCUCCCCGACUCAUUUGCACUGGGAUCCCAAUCACUAUAUUGGUGAGGAUGUAUUCCAUGAUUCACAAAUUGUGUAUGUCCCUCUAAAUAUUUUCUUAUAAAUCUCAACAGUUAUAGUGACCUGACCGGACGCAUAGAAGGAGGCCCAUCAUUUUCGAGUGUCAUCAUCUUCUACGGGGUUAGCAGAGAUAUCGGUUGAAGAAGAGCGGCGGUAGCGGCGGCAGCUAGAUUAAGCGCGGUGGCGAUGCUCGAAGUAGGCGAAGAACCCGACAGCAUGACGACCGCCCCUUCUUCCCCGUCUGGCCACCGCCGCUUCGAUCCCGUCCACAUCCUCAGCCAGUUUGUUUCAGCCCCCACCUCUGUCCAUUAUAGUCAUCUCCUCUGUGUUCUACGAUAUCUUCAUGGCACGAUCUCUCACUGGCCUUUCUUUCCCUGCUCCAGCUCUCUCGAGCUACAGGCCUACUCUAAUGCUACCUGAGCCAGUGAUCCCUCUGAUCAAUGCUCGCUGUCUGCUUACUGUGUCUUUCUUGGUGGCUCUCUUAUUGCCUGAAAGACAAAGAAACAGACUGCAGUUUCUCUCUCGAGUACAGAGGCUGAGUUGCGAGCAAUGGCUAUGUUGAAGGUAGUCUUUGGAAAGGGUCCUGGUGGAUAACCUGUUCCGAAUGAUGCUGACGGGCGUGCACCCAUGUGGAAGAAGAAAUCUAUAUUUUGGGACCUGCCCUAUUGGAAAGACCUAGAGCUCCGCUCCGCAAUCAAUGUGAUGCAUGUGAUGAAGAAUCUUUGUGUGACCCUGCUUGGCUUCUUGGACGUGUAUGGGAAGACAAAAGAUACACCUGAGGCACGGGAGGACCAGCAACGUAUGCACGGAAAAAACGGCAUACAUCAAGGUCAUGUCAGUUAUGCUCUUACCAAAGAAGAGAAGGAAAUCUUCUUUGAAUGCUUGCUCAGUAUUAAGGUACUGUCUGGCUUCUCGUCGAAUAUAAAGGGAAUAAUAAACAUGGCAGAGAAAAAGUUCUAGAACCUAAAGUCUCAUGACUGCCACGUGAUUAUGACGCAACUGCUUCCGGUUGCAUUGAGGGGGCUUCUACCGGAUAACGUUCGAUUAGCCAUUGUGAAGUUAUGUGCAUUCCUCAAUGCAAUCUCUCAGAAGGUAAUCGAUCCAGAAAUCAUACCAAGGUUAGAGAAUGAUUUGGUGCAAUGUCUUGUCAGUUUCGAGUUGGUGUUCCCACCAUCCUUCUUCAACAUCAUGACGCACGUCCUAGUUCACCUAUGCAAAGAGAUUAAUGUUUUGGGUCCUGUAUUUAUACACAAUAUGUUCCCCUUUGAGAGGUUCAUGGGAGUCUUAAAGAAAUAUGUUCAUAACCGUGCUAGGCCAGAAGGAAGCAUCUCCAAGGGCCAUCACAAUGAGGAGGUCAUUGAGUUUUGUAUUGACUUUAUUCCUGACCUUAAACCGAUUGGUGUUCCUGAAUUGCGGCAUUAGGGCAGACUGGAGGGAAAAGGCACGCUAGGAGGGAAUCAACUAAUAUGUAUGGACGGACAUUCUCUCACUGAAGCACACUACACAGUUCUACAGAAUUCCGCCUUGGUGGCUCCAUAUAUGGACGAACACAAGAAUUUUCUACGCUCCAAACACCCAGAGCAGUCUGAUGACUGGAUUACACAUGAACAAACUAGGAGUUUCGCCGGCUGGUUGCAGACACGCACCAUGCAUGACGCCUCUAUUGAAGAUGACCUGUACUCGCUGUACCAGUUACCAUCUUCGAAUACAAUGACUUUCGAAGGGUACGAGAUAAAUGGUAAUACAUUUUACACGAUCGCCCAAGAUAAGAAGAGCACCAACCAAAAUAGUGGUGUCCGCUUUGAUGCAACAACCAAGACGGGAAAGGAAACAUAUUAUGAUUACAUAGAGGACAUAUGGGAACUUGACUAUGGACGUGGUUUGAAGGGGUCCCUUUGUUUCGGUGCAAAUAGGUCAAUAUGACACGAGGCGGGGUAACGGAAGACCCGCAGUACGGAAUGACAAUAGUGGAUCUCAACAAUCUUGCGUAUGCAGACGAACCAUUCAUCCUAGCCAAUGAUGUGGCACAGGUUUUCUAUGUGAAGGACAUGUCUACCAAGCCGAGAAAAAGAAAAGAUAAGGAAGAGAAUGCAUCAUAUGAUGAGCCAAAGCGCCACAUAGUUCUUUCUGGAAAGAGAAACAUCGUGGGGGUGGAUGACAAGACAUACAUGUCAGAAGAUUAUGAAAAGUUUGAUGAAAUUGCUCCAUUCACAGUGAAUAUUGACCCGAGCAUCCAGUUAAAUGAUAAAGAUUUUCCAUGGCUACGGCGCAAAGGGGCACACGCAAAGAAAAUGUUGGAACCACCAUGACUUGGCAUUUUUGCCCAUGUGGUAAAACCCCUCCAAAACCUCCCCUACAACUUGUGAUCAACCUAAAUUCUCUGUCCCAACUAAUCCAAACUGGUUUUGGAUUUUUAUUCUAAUUAUUUUUCUCCUCAAUUCAAUUCUGAAAAUUAUUUGGAGCCUGAGAGCUUUUCAAAGCAAGUGCCCUAUUGCAUUUGAGUUUUGACCUCAAACCAAUUUUCCUGGAUUGUCCUUAGCAUCCAUAACCUAGAACCAUCUUGAUCCACUCCUCUUUUCAAAUUUUUCAAAAUUCAGUCUCUGCAAGUUUGGACCAGAUUUGCCAAAUUUGGUGAAAUUCAUAUCUACACUCCUCCAAAAAUUCCACCAAAAUUCAGGCAGCCUAUUUGAGCAAUGAGAAGCCACUCCACCAAAAAUCAGCUCAAGGAAAAAUCCCUACAUGCCUGGAUCAUUCUGUCGAACACCUUGCAUGCACUGUUUUCCUUACACUUUCAGAAAUUCAGUUAAAUUCAGUUUUCAGUUUCGACAGUUUCAGUCACGCGGCCACAGUGCACUUGGCACGUUGCUCGCGGCCUCGCUUGCUUGUCCGAAGCUUCACACGCGCACUUGGCGCGACCCUGGCGUCGGUGGCGCCCUGGCCCGCCUGCGCCGGCGUGUCUUGCGGCGGCCGGCUCCCCGUAACGGCCGACAGGGAGGAGAACGGCGGCGCAACGCCGUUCGGCGCCGCCCAAAUCCUCUGGUGGCUCCGCGUGGCCUUCUCCGUGCCAGCGCACGCAUGCGGCACCGUCGCCGUGGCGCAGCACGCACGGAGCGCGCUCUCUGCCGCCGACGGGCCCGCGCCACCCCGUUCCGUCGAGCUCGACCCAAACACCCAAACCCCGGCCAGUUUAGCACUAAAACGGACCCAUUGAACCUCCGUGAUGACGCUCGACUCCCUAACCACCCCGACCGAGCACUGCGCCACCGUAAUCGCUCGCCGGUGAUCCUCGUUCACGGCAACCGCCUCGGACCACCUAUAUAAAGGGGUCUCGAGCUCACUCCCGUGCACGCAGCACCCCCACUACUCACCAACACCCCGCCAUGCCACUAGGGGGACCUCGAGGAGGUCUCCUCCCCCAGCUCCGGCCGCCUCGCCCCGCCUCGGCCUGCAGCACGAUUCGUUCUGGUGAGGCCAUCUCCGGCGCUAAAACCCCGUUCGUCACCCUUUCUAGCUGCCAGGAGCAUGACCCUCUCUUCAAUUUAACCUUUGCAGCCCUCUCCGACGAGCCCCUCGACCACCCGAGCCGCCGUCCGCCGGAGCAAAGCUCGCCGUCGAUGUGGUGCUCGCCGACCGACUCCACCACCAUCAACUGACGCGGAAGGGUUCCCUGAGCACGGAGGUACCCUCCGAUCUCUCUGCCUCGCCGUGGAUCGCCGCCGGCGACCACCGCGGCUCUCGGGCGCCGGCGAACUCUGCCGCCCCGUUUGAACAUUUGAACCUGACGGGUGGGACCCCACCGUCAGCCUCUCUGCUCUCUCUUUCGAAUCGUUUUCUGGAAGCGCCUUCGGGCAGAAUGCGUUUUCUCUUCAGGCUGGCGUAGUCGCUACCGAAGCGUUUUCUGUUUUUAUAAACUAGCCCCUGGAAAUCUUUUGUUUCAUUACAGAUAAGUCCCUGGACAAAAACCCUUAUAACUUUUAAUCAGAAAAGUAUUUUUGAUUGAUUCUUUUUCUGUUCUCUUUAAAAUUUUGCCUAGUUUUUUAUCAGAUUUAUUUAAAAAAAUAUUUGGUUUACCUUCUGUGCACUCCUUGGUAUUUACGUUAGCGCAUAUAUUUUCUUUAAACCGUAGAUACCGAAGGAGGUGACGGAGCCGCGAACUUCACCGAGCUAGGCUCCGACUACUCUGAACCAGGCAAGCAUGUUUGAACUUUUGAUAUGAUGAGUGUCUCGGCAUGUUUUGCAUUUAGUUAGUUUCAUGGCAUGUUGGUAAGCAUACCGAUGAACAUUAUUUUUAUGUGAUAAUAAGGUGAGUGAGUUCAAUGAUCCAUACGUGGAUGAAUGUGAAUAUGAAUGGCCAUGUGUUGGCAUGAGGAUGGGUACGAUGGCAGUGUUGUAGCAUGCCAGUCUUACGCCAGACUAUGUGACUUCAGUGUCAAACCAUAUCGGUCCAGUACCUAUCAUUUCCUUCCUUGUACUACCACAUGUUUUCCGCAAGGAAUAUGGUUUAGUAAGUUGCAAACCACUUUCAUGGUACACACCAAAGAGGAGAGGCCGUGAUGAUGGUUCCAUGGCCCUGGAUUAAAGCCAGUCAUCCGGUCAGGGGGCAUGGGUGUUUCCGGUUGGGACCGAGAGGGGGGUACCCCUUAGAGCGCGCGUAUAUAAAUUUGAUCCCAUUCUAUUCGAGAUUGUGAUCUCCCCGUCUCAAAAGUUUUUCUUGGACGAUGACUAGGGUGAUUCCUAGCAUCGAGAGGUAGGAUGGGUGUGUACCGGUUAGCUGUGUUUUCUCCCGAAAUACCAUAACGGAACUAGUCCUUCGUGACUACGGAAAUCCGUUGACUGUGGGAAAAAUUUUGUACAAACUCUGCAGAGUCAUAUAUUCCUCCAAAUCAUCUCUUCCAUGUCAAGUUUCGUUCCAUCUUAUCCUAAUCAAUUGUCAGCUUUGAUGACAGAGACUCCGGUGAAUCGCAUGAGUGCUAAGUCCGAUUGAAUGAUUAUCCCUGUGGAUGGACUAACCCGUUUAUUCUCAUGGAUUGAAUGUUUAUUAUGAGUAUUGUUUACUAGUGAAUUUAAGGCCCUUUCUGCGAUGUCGCUCAGACGUCCGACUGUGGCAUUUCUUUUAAAGCCCUUUCUGCGAUGUCGCUCAGACGUCCGACUGUGGCAUUUCUUUUAAAGCCCUUUCUGCGAUGUCGCUCAGACGUCCGACUGUGGCAUUUCAUUUAAAGCCCUUUCUGCGAUGUCGUUCAGACGUCCGACUGUGGCAUUUCUUUUAAAGCCCUUUCUGCGAUGUCGCUCAGACGUCUGACUGUGGCAUUUCAUUUAAAGCCCUUUCUGCGAUGUCGCUCAGACGUCCGACCGUGGCAUUUCUUUUAAAAGCCCUUUUUGUGGUGUCGCUAAGACGCCCGACUGUGGCAUCAUUUUUCCUUAUUUUUAUUUGUUCACCUUUCGAGGUGUCGCUUCAGACACCCGAUCGGUCCUUAUUUAUGCUCUGUGGAAUUUCAGGCGGACUACCUCCGUUUCCCUUUUUACUUACCCGUUAUGCCAAUUUUAUUUAUUGUGCAUUAAGGAAUUAAUCAUGUUGCAUCCAUGCACGCAUUUGUUAUAUCUUACGUCUGAACUGUCUUGCGAGUACUUUCAAAGUACUCACUGGCUUGUUGAUUUGGCCAGAUGCUGACGAAGGCGAUCUCAUGGAUGAAGAGUUCGAUAGCGAGUCCGACACUUAGAGGAGUCCCAGUCAGUCUCGUGCGACCCUGGAUUUGGUCACUGUUUUAUAUCCGCUUCCGCUACCAAAUAAAUUUAUCGAGCCUCACCUCGAUGUUCGAUGAAAUGAUAUUCUUAGAGUCUUGUAUUUCCCUUCCCUUUGUGUUUUUCCACCACCAACCUACCCAUGAGUCAGUAGUAUGUCUCCACACCACUGUGUCCUGUCCGCCAUUAUGUAUGAUUUUUGGCGUGCUUGUAAUAAUUUGGUUGAGCGACCGCGGUUCAACCCUGUAAUAUAUUUUAUGCUACUGGCUUGAUGUAUCAAGAAAUUGUCUACCAGUGAGGAGGAUUUCUCUCAUACUGGACUCAAAAGACUGGUUUAUCAAUAAAUAUUUUUAUUGGAAAACCGGCCGUGACAAGCUUGGUACUAGAGCCAGGCUAACUGUAGGAAGCCACUAGGUGCGAUCGCUAAUUGGUUAUUAGCCUGAUAGAGCUAAUUUAUAUUUUUGCAAUGGUAGUCAUUUUCUGUCAGUCAGCAAAAAUUUAUGAUCUGACCCUGCAGAAUUUUGCCUACUUUUGUAGAUGGCCGACGUCAGCUGCGAGUCUCAGACCUUCGCCAACGUGCCCGAUGGGUUCGUCAAGCUUCUUUCUUCCAUCGUUCAGGUCGCGAUGGGGCCAUCCGUGCGCCCAGUCUUCACACUCUACCAGCACCGAGUCAACGACAGUCUGACCAUGCACCAGGCCGCGGUGCAGUUCAGGGGAGGGCGUGGUGAGGUACGCCGCUUCCGGUUCGUGGGAAGAGCCAUGCCUACGGAGAGGCAUGCUAUGCAGAUGGCAGCCCGCGAGGCGAUAGCUCGUCUCAGGGAUGUCCUUCCCGUAAUGAAGACUCGUCGUUACCGUUAUCUUCCGUGCCAUGUGCCUUACACCUGUCACUACGCAUACUCCUGCCCCAGAGGAGAACGAGACGAGGCUUUUGAGAUGCUCAUUGAGUAUCUCCGGGCCCUGGAGGCAGCCUUCGACAACCUGGUGGACGACUUCGUAGCUACCCGCAUGGACUCAGUUCAUGGCUGUGCUGCCAACAGGAGGGAGCUCCUACCAAUCGCACCGCCACUGACUUUUGUCUCGUCAUCAGCAUCUUUUAUGCCCGCUCGUCGUCUACCUUCUACCGAAGAAUUCAACCAAGUUAUUGCACCCACUCCAGCGCGCACUACACCAACCUUCGCGCCCACUCCUGUACGUGUUGCUCCGCCCCUGGCAACCGCUCCGCUCGCUCUGCGCAACACUACACGUAUGGAGACCAUUAGCGAGGAGGAAGUCGAGUCCCCAACCUCGCUACGCCUCGCCCUCGGCAGGGCAAGGGAGAUCGUCAACAUCUCUGCCUAAGUACGCUUAGCUGCCGUGUAUUGUACCACUUUGUAAGGUAUGUGCAUAGGCUGUGAGAAGUAGCCUGUUUGCGCAUCAUGUAGGAUCUGGAGAAGUGCACUAGCCUUAAUAACAUGUCAGGAUUAUGUACGCAUAUCCUGAGUGAUGUACUGUAUAAUUACCGCCCGCGUGUAAGAUAUGUAAUGAGCAGUCCUUCUCCGUGCGCAAGUCGAUUUGUUUUUCUUAAGUAAGCUUGGGUAUUUAAUAAUAUCUGCCAGCUUUAUGCAUUUAUGGUUUUAUUUUUGCGACUCUUUCCGCUUUUCUUAAGAGUUUUACAAAAAUACUUUUCCCAGAGUGAAAAAUGUCUCGUCCUUGGACACGUUCCAUGCCAACUCCACCAGAGGAAAUUCAUGAUACUCAACCCAACAAUGAGUUCACUCAAGGACAGUCAAGCCAACAAGGCAGUGAAUCGGCACUUUCACAAAUGUGCCGCCUUUAUGAACAGAGUCAGCAACAACAUCGCGAGAUGAUGAACCAAGUCAUCAACAUGGGGAAUCAUCAUGGACAGUAUCAGCAACAUUCCAAGUUAUCUGAUCUACAGAAGACACGUCCUCAAACAUUUUCUCAUACUGACAAGCCUCUUGAAGCCGAGGACUGGCUUCGAGAUAUGGAGAGGAAAUUAAUUAUUGCAAAGUGUUCAGAUCUCGAGAAAGUACUAUAUGCUCCACACUAUCUCACAGGAGCAGCCGCAUCGUGGUGGGAGAAUUUUCUGCACAUGCAUCCCAACGAAAAUGACAUAACCUGGGAUGAUUUCAAGGAAGGUUUCCGUGGUGCACAUAUUCCUAAGAGUAUUAUGAAAAUCAAGAAGAGAGAAUUUGAUGACCUCAAACAAAGGAACAUGACAGUGUCAGAUUACAACAGUCAAUUUACCCUAUUAUCCCGCUACGCCAAUGAGGAGCGUAUGACUGAAAUCAAGAAGAUGGAGAAAUUCCUUGACGGUCUGGCGCCCGCACUUAAAUGCCAACUGGUCGUGCACACUUUUCCUGAUUUUAAAACGCUGGUGGAUAAGGCCAUUACUCUGGAAAAUGAGAGACGCAGUCUGGAAGAUAUCCGCAAGCGAAAAAGGGACCAGACUAAUCACACUCGCAAUCACCGAAGCAAGAUAGAUUUUAAAAA
rnacentral:lncRNA from 1 species